UACGAAGGGUGCAAGCGUUACUCGGAAUUACUGGGCGUAAAGCGUGCGUAGGUGGUUUGUUAAGUCUGAUGUGAAAGCCCUGGGCUCAACCUGGGAAUUGCAUUGGAUACUGGCAGGCUAGAGUGCGGUAGAGGAUGGCGGAAUUCCCGGUGUAGCAGUGAAAUGCGUAGAUAUCGAGAGGAACACCUGCGGCGAAGGCGGGUAGCUGGGCCGACACUGACGCUGAGGCGCGAAAGCCAGGGGAGCGAACGGG
rnacentral:rRNA from 1 species